UUAGCGCAAUCUCGAAUUCGUGACCGCCGUCCGCGAUUUGAAAAUCGUUUAUCGAAUAUAACUUGUCCGAGAACCUGCUAUAAAUUGAAAUUUCUAUAGACAGAACUAAACAGUUACUUGUGGUCUGCCAUUGAAGAUCAGUUGGUUUCAAGCAACGUUCAACAUUUUGUCAUUGACACUUCACAGGUGCGUGAAUUUCCGGUAAGUACCAUGAAGAGUUGGCUGAUAAGUGGAACGCGCGCGAUAAGACUUCUCUGCAUCUUCCUUCUGGUGCAGUCGUUUUUGGUUACUUCGUC